GCUGGGUGUGGUGGCUCAUGCCUGUAGUCCCAGCUACUUGGAAGGUUGAGGUGAGGAGAUCGCUCAAUCCCAGGAGUUUGGCAUUCAUUGGUGACCUCCCAGAAGCAGGGGACCACCAGGUUGCCUAAGGAGAGGUGAACCGGUCCAGGUCAGAAACAGAGCAGGUCAAAACUCCCGUGCUGAUCAGCAGUGGGAUUACACCUGUGAAUAGCUACUGCACUCCAGCCUGAGCAACAUAGUCUCUAUUU
rnacentral:SRP_RNA from 10 species